UGAGCAAUCUGCCCUUCACAUCGGAAUAACCAUUGGAAACGAUGGCUAAUACCGAAUAUGACUUCGGAUCGCAUGGUCUGAAGUGGAAAGCUCCGGCGGUGAAGGAUGAGCUCGCGGCCUAUCAGCUUGUUGGUGAGGUAAUAGCUCACCAAGGCGAUGGACGGGUAGCCGGCCUGAGGAGGGUCGACCGGCCACACGUGGGACUGAGACACGGCCCAGACCUCCG
rnacentral:rRNA from 1 species